rnacentral:tRNA from 1 species
ACUGCUGAUGCAGUCCCCGGGCCUGACCGUCCGCCCUGGCGGGGCGGAGGCCAAUGUCGCCGUGUCCUUGGCCCGGUUCGGCGCCGAGACGGCGAUG